GACCAGACUCCUACGGGAGGCAGCAGUGGGGAAUAUUGCACAAUGGGGGAAACCCUGAUGCAGCAACGCCGUGUGAGUGAAGAAGCGUUUCGGCGCGUAAAGCUCUGUCAGCGGGGAAGAAAGAAGACGGUACCCGACCAAGAAGCCCCGGCUAACUACGUGCCAGCAGCCGCGGUAAUACGUAGGGGGCGAGCGUUAUCCGGAAUUACUGGGUGUAAAGGGAGCGUAGACGGGACAGCAAGUUAGUUGUGAAAGCCCUCGGCUUAACUGAGGAACUGCAACUAAAACUAUUGUUCUUGAGUGCAGGAGAGGAAGGCGGAAUUCCUAGUGUAGCGGUGAAAUGCGUAGAUAUUAGGAGGAACACCAGUGGCGAAGGCGGCUUUCUGGACUGUAACUGACGUUGAGGCACGAAAGUGUGGGGAGCAGACAGGAUUAGAUACCCCGGUACU
rnacentral:rRNA from 1 species